rnacentral:rRNA from 1 species
UAGUGGCAGACGGGUGAGUAAUGCAUAGGAAUCUACCUAGUAGUAUAGGAUAGCCACUAGAAAUGGUGGGUAAUACUGUAUAAUCCCUGCGGGGGAAAGAUUUAUCGCUACAUGAUGAGCCUAUGUUAGAUUAGCUAGUUGGUGGGGUAAUGGCCUACCAAGGCAGUGAUCUAUAGCUGGUCUGAGAGGAUGAUCAGCCACACUGGAACUGAGACACGGUCCAGACUCCUACGGGAGGCAGCAGUGGGGAAUAUUGGACAAUGGGCGCAAGCCUGAUCCAGCUAUGCCGCGUGAGUGAGGAAGGCCUUAGGGUUGUAAAACUCUUUCAGUAGGGAAGAUAAUGACGGUACC